rnacentral:ncRNA from 1 species
AAGCCUGUCCGAUAGCGCGUUUCGCGCGAGCUUCGAAAGGGAAUCGGGUUAAAAUUCCGGAACCGGGAGGUGGCAGUUGACGGCAACGUUAGGAAGUCCGGAGAUGUCGGAGGGGGCCUCGGGAAGAGUUAUCUUUUCUGUUUAACAGCCUGCC